CCUACGGGAGGCAGCAGUGGGGAAUUUUGCGCAAUGGGCGAAAGCCUGACGCAGCAACGCCGCGUGAGUGAUGAAGGCUUUCGGGUCGUAAAGCUCUGUCGAGGGGAAAGAAGUGUAUUGUGGUUAAUACCCAUGAUACUUGACGGUACCCCUAAAGGAAGCACCGGCUAACUCCGUGCCAGCAGCCGCGGUAAUACGGGGGGUGCAAGCGUUGUUCGGAAUUAUUGGGCGUAAAGCGCGUGUAGGCGGUUUGAUUAGUCUGAUGUGAAAGCCCUGGGCUCAACCCAGGAAGUGCAUUGGAAACUGUCAGACUUGAAUACGGGAGAGGGUAGUGGAAUUCCUAGUGUAGGAGUGAAAUCCGUAGAUAUUAGGAGGAACACCGGUGGCGAAGGCGGCUACCUGGACCGAUAUUGACGCUGAGACGCGAAAGCGUGGGUAGCAAACAGGAUUAGAUACCCCAGUA
rnacentral:rRNA from 1 species